GGUCUGUAGCUCAGUUGGUUAGAGCGCACCCCUGAUAAGGGUGAGGUCGGAGGUUCAAAUCCUCCCAGACCCACCACGGUCUGCAGAGAUCGACGAGGGUG
rnacentral:tRNA from 1 species